rnacentral:rRNA from 1 species
CCUACGGGGGGCGGCAGUGAGGAAUCUUGCGCAAUGGGGGCAACCCUGACGCAGCAACGCCGCGUGAGUGAGGAAGGUCUUCGGAUCGUAAAGCUCUGUCGGAUGGGAAGAAAUGCGUAUCGGCCAAUACCCGGUACGCUUGACGGUACCAUCAAAGGAAGCACCGGCUAACUCCGCGCCAGCAGCCCCGGUC